UACGGGGGGGGCAAGCGUUGUUCGGAAUUACUGGGCGUAAAGGGUUCGUAGGUGGCCAACUAAGUCAUACGUGAAAUCCCUCAGCUUAACUGGGGAACUGCGUCUGAUACUGGUUGGCUUGAGUGCAGGAGAGGAACGCGGAAUUCCAGGUGUAGCGGUGAAAUGCGUAGAUAUCAGGAGGAACACCGGUGGUGUAGACGGCUCUCUGGACCGUAACUGACGCUGAGACACGAAAGCGUGGGUAGCAAACAGG
rnacentral:rRNA from 1 species